rnacentral:lncRNA from 1 species
AAAAAUCACUUUUUUCGCAAAUUCUCUCUUCGUCUCCGUCUCUGCUUCCUCUCCAUUGAUGUUUAGGUAUGUCUCAGCUUCUCGGAUUCUCACAUUUCUUUCGAUUCCUCUUUCUCGUGCGCCCUGCAUACUACUCAUUGCUCUAUGUCUCGCUUUUGUCUUUUGUUCUAUGUCUUUUACGUAACUAUGCACACCAAAUGUUCGUUGAAAUGCCUCUUAGAAGCCCCACUUCGAUUUUACAAUCUCAUCCUUAGAGCAUGAUAGGUCUAAGGAGAUUUUCAAUGAAACCCAUUUUGAUUUUAGAAAACUGGUUUUGAAAUUCUGUGAUUCGAGCAUGUCUGUAUAUAUAGAUCUAGUUCUGGAAAAGCCACAAAGCUUCAUACUUUACACCAUCAAAACUUUUUAAUUUACAAGAAAAUGAUGGUUACCAUUUGCACUUGACAAGACCCACAAAAAAAAAAUGAAGUGUAUAUUUACUUAAUGCAGAAUGUGUGAUGAAAGUAUAAAAAAAGGCACACACAAGAUGUUACUUUGUCUCUUCUUCUUCUUCAGCUUCUUCUCUGUUACUUUGGUUUCUGUUUCCCGCGUCUACAUCAUUAAGCCAGUCCACAACUUGUUGUAUAACUGGUCUUUUCAUUGGGUUUUGGUUCACACACAUGCAGGCUAUGUCAAGCACACGAAGCAUCUCUCUUUCGUGACCACUCUCUCUCAGCAACGGAUCAAACACCUCCUCUGGUUUCUCUUCCCUUCUCAUCUGAUUCACCCACGCGACUAUUUCUCUCGACAUCUUCGGUCUGAACACCUCCAUUGG